GCUUCAAGAGUUCUAGCCCCUAGAACUCGAAUUGCCUUGAUCUAGUCAGAUUUCUUCAAGAACCUGACUUCACCCUCUCAAAGAUUCUUAUCUAGACUUCUAAACCUCUUCUUUAGAACUUUCUUUACCCUCAUUUGGACCUGCAUAAGGUAUUUCUUAAAUAUAGAAAGCCUUGUCCUAAACAAGAGCGAGGAAGGAGAG
rnacentral:lncRNA from 1 species